UCUCCGUAGGUGAACCUGCGGAGGGAUCAUCACAAGUGACCCCGGUCUUACCACCGGGAUGUUCAUAACCCUUUGUUGUCCGACUCUGUUGCCUCCGGGGCGACCCUGCCUUCGGGCGGGGGCUCCGGGUGGACACUUCAAACUCUUGCGUAACUUUGCAGUCUGAGUAAACUUAAUUAAUAAAUUAAAACUUUUAACAACGGAUCUCUUGGUUCUG
rnacentral:misc_RNA from 1 species